CAGGACAAGACUUGUCCAGGGGGAAUCUAGGACAUUAGAGUACUCCAGAAAGAAAGACCGGUGGACAGCUGCAAACAUAAUAUAUAAAAAGCUUCCACCUCUCCACAGUCAGCCCCAAAUACUGACCACGAACCCUGUCCACCAUGAAGCUACAGACACUGAGACACAGCAGGAGGGGAAGGCUGGAGAAGGAUCUUGCAAAGGAGCAGACCUCUCCAGUCAUGAUCAUAAUACAAAGUAAUUCCGGUUCACUGAGGCUUCCAGUUCACUGAGGAGGCUGAGCUCAUGACGAGGCAGCAGCUACCCUACUAAGGGUUACGAAUGCAUCACUACAGUAGGCCUCCUGAUGACCUGGAGGGUCUCAUAUAAACUAUACUGGCCAUAUCCUUCUGGUGGGCAGUGAUGGAAGCUCUCAAACUCCUGCUGUCAUCUCUCCAGUGUGCGAUUACAGGCACACACCACACCCAGCCUCCACAGUUGUUUUCCAUGACCAGAUAUAUGUUUAUUUAUGUCUCAAGCUCUUUCUGCACCCAGAGACCUUUCUUGAGAAGGCCCUUUCGUGCAGGGGAAGAUGGUAGGGGCAGGACCUGUCUCUCUGCUUCCGGAACUUUCACCGUGACCUCAGGCAGGUGCAAACUGGUG